GGGGAAUAUUGCGCAAUGGGGGAAACCCUGACGCAGCGACGCCGUGUGAGGGAAGAAGGCCUUCGGGUCGUAAACCUCUGUCGGGAGGGAAGAACCGCCAGGUUCCGAACAGGAACCUGGCCUGACGGUACCUCUAGAGGAAGCGCCGGCUAACUCCGUGCCAGCAGCCGCGGUAAUACGGAGGGCGCGAGCGUUAAUCGGAAUCACUGGGCGUAAAGCGCACGUAGGCGGCUUGAUAAGUCGGGCGUGAAAGCCCUCGGCCCAACCGAGGAAUUGCGUUCGAUACUGUCUGGCUUGAGUCCUGGAGAGGGUGGCGGAAUUCCGGGUGUAGGAGUGAAAUCCGUAGAUAUCCGGAGGAACACCGGUGGCGAAGGCGGCCACCUGGACAGGUACUGACGCUGAGGUGCGAAAGCGUGGGGAGCAAAC
rnacentral:rRNA from 1 species